rnacentral:rRNA from 1 species
CCAAUAGCGUAUAUUAAAGUUGUUGCAGUUAAAAAGCUCGUAGUUGAAUUUCGGGGUUCUACCGUUGGUCGGGCAAUUGUCUGUACUGGCGUGUGGAAUUUCUACCUUCUGGGGAACCAUCAUGUUAUUAAUUUAGCGUGGUGGGAAACCAGGACCUUUACCUUGAAAAAAUUAGAGUGUUCAAAGCAGGCUUACGUCUGAAUACAUUAGCAUGGAAUAAUAAAAUAGGACGGUGGUCCUGUUUUGUUGGUUUCUGAAUCACCGUAAUGAUUAAUAGGGAUAGUUGGGGGCAUUAGUAUUCAAUUGUCAGAGGUGAAAUUCUUGGAUUUAUUGAAGACUAACUUCUGCGAAAGCAUUUGCCAAGGAUGUUUUCAUUAAUCAAGAACGAAAGUUAGGGGAUCGAAGACGAUCAGAUACCGUCGUAGUCUUAACCAUAAACUAUGCCGACGAGGGAUCGGACGAUGUUAAUUUUUCUUGACUCGUUCGGCGCCUUACG